rnacentral:lncRNA from 1 species
UUACUUUACGUUUCACUUUGGGUGUUUUGAUUAUUAUGUGAAGGUUUGUUGGAGUCGUAGAAGGGAACCAAUCAGCUGAUUGUAUAUUUUUUAUCAAAUUUUGUAUGGAGAUAGUCAUACUCAUAUUUUUAGUCCCAUUUUCUGGCGGCAUGUAGAUUUUCACUUUAUCUUCUUUAUUAUUGCAGUUCUUGUUGUCUUUGUUUUCCAAUGCAGCUUUUUAUUCUGUCCUAUGCGCCGAGGGUCGCAUGGAAGCAGCCUCUCUGCCCUUUUGGGUAGGGGUAAGACUGCCUACAUAUUACCCUCCCCAGACCCCACCUGGUGGGAGUAUACUGGGUAGUUGUUGUUGUUGUUG